rnacentral:rRNA from 1 species
GAUGAACGCUGGCGGCGUGCCUAAUACAUGCCAGUCGAGCGAACGGACGAGAAGCUUGCUUCUCUGAUGUUAGCGGCGGACGGGUGAGUAACACGUGGAUAACCUACCUAUAAGGCUGGGAUAACUUCGGGAAACCGGAGCUAAUACCGGAUAAUAUUUUGAACCGCAUGGUUCAAAAGUGAAAGACGGUCUUGCUGUCACUUAUAGAUGGAUCCGCGCUGCAUUAGCUAGUUGGUAAGGUAACGGCUUACCAAGGCAACGAUGCAUAGCCGACCUGAGAGGGUGAUCGGCCACACUGGAACUGAGACACGGUCCAGACUCCUACGGGAGGCAGCAGUAGGGAAUCUUCCGCAAUGGGCGAAAGCCUGACGGAGCAACGCCGCGUGAGUGAUGAAGGUCUUCGGAUCGUAAAACUCUGUUACUAGGGAAGAACAUAUGUGUAAGUAACUGUGCACAUCUUGACGGUACCUAAUCAGAAAGCCACGGCUAACUACGUG